rnacentral:rRNA from 1 species
UACGUAGGGGGCAAGCGUUGUCCGGAAUCAUUGGGCGUAAAGAGCGCGCAGGCGGUCGUUCAAGUCGAGUGUGAAAGCCCCCGGCUCAACUGGGGAGGGUCACUCGAUACUGAUCGACUCGAAGGCAGGAGAGGGUAGUGGAAUUCCCGGUGUAGUGGUGAAAUGCGUAGAUAUCGGGAGGAACACCAGUGGCGAAGGCGACUACCUGGCCUGUUCUUGACGCUGAGACGCGAAAGCUAGGGGAGCAAACGGG